CGCCUGUUUAUCAAAAACAUCUUUUCUUGUUAGUUUUUGAAGUAUGGCCUGCCCACUGACUUGAGAGUUGAAGGGCCGCGGUAUUUUGACCGUGCAAAGGUAGCAUAAUCAUUAGUUCUUUAAUUGUGAUCUGGUAUGAAUGGCUUGACGAGGCAUAAUCUGUCUUAGGGGCAUUGGUUUAUUGAAUUUGGUUUUUGAGUUAAAAUUCUUAAAUGUUUUUAUGGGACGAGAAGACCCUAUAGAGUUUGACAAUUUUCUUAUUUAUUCGUUGUUUGUUUUAUUUACAUUGAGUGGGAAUGGAUUGUUUUGUUGGGGUGAUGGGAGGAAUAUUAUUUAACUCCUCUUUGUUUUUAUAUAUUUAUGUAUAUGUUUUUGAUCCAUUUAUUUUGAUUAUAAGAUUAAAUUACCUUAGGAAUAACAGCGUAA
rnacentral:rRNA from 1 species